GAUGAACGCUAGCGGCAGGCCUAACACAUGCAAGUCGAGGGGUAGAAGGAGCUUGCUCCUUUGAGACCGGCGCACGGGUGCGUAACGCGUAUGCAAUCUACCUUUUACAGAGGGAUAGCCCAGAGAAAUUUGGAUUAAUACCUCAUAGUAUAUUAGAAUGGCAUCAUUUUAAUAUUAAAGUCACAACGGUAAAAGAUGAGCAUGCGUCCCAUUAGUUAGUUGGUAAGGUAACGGCUUACCAAGACAAUGAUGGGUAGGGGUCCUGAGAGGGAGAUCCCCCA
rnacentral:rRNA from 1 species